CACGGACUCGCAGCCUCGGCGAGGACGCUGCCUGCGUCCCGACUGCCUGGACCUCCCCGCGUGGCUCCCGGCGAAGCCCAGCAGCCGGAGGGUGCCAGGUCCGCCUGACGCGCCCCUCCCCACGGGAAGAACGGGGCGGGGGUCCAGGAGGGACGUAAGCCGGGCUCCCCCGGCGUGUUGAUCCGAACCCGCGCGGGAAAACUUGCGCAAACCAAAGGAGGGAAGAGUCAGGCAGCCCCCAGCCCCCCAGGGAGGCCCAGGUGAAAAACAGACGCCGGCCUCGCCUCUCCCGGUGCGGAUGAUCCCGGCACUCCCACCCCCGCCCCUGCUGCCCCGAGUUCGGCUCCCUCAGCCCCACAUCCUCUCUGGUCAUCUAAGUGGACUGCAGCUGCUCAGGGAGCAUGUCGCGAAGGAUAGGGAAGGACAGGGGGUCUGCUUCCCCAGCCGCCCUCCAGACCCCCAGGGCUGGUAGGGGCCGGCAACCCUAUGCCCCAACCUGGCCUGCUGCAGGUGAGGGGGGCACACCAGGGUAACACAGGAGCAGGAGGGGGAGAAAGCCUGGCUAGAGCAUCCACCUCAUAGGCACCUUCCUUGUGUCCAGGGUGCAGAUGCCAGGGCUCUGAGGCCCUGAGGUCCUGUCUGGGGCGAGGGGGCUUCCUCCAUCCACUGCAUCCACUGCCCGGCUGAGUCUAGAGGCCACUGAGCAAGCAGACCCUCCAAAGCCAGGCACACUCAGGCCCUCACAUGGUCACGGUGCUUAUGCUCUGGGCCAGCCUGGAUUGCUCAUCCCUAGCUGAGAUUGGGAUUCACAGGGUCUUCCAGUUCCCCCUUUUCUUUCUCUACUGAUUGAGAAACACAGAGUCCUUUGAUUGCUCUGGGACCUGGCCAUUGCGUGUUCCCUGCAGCCUUGAACCCAGUUCAAUGGGGCCGGGCACAUUCCCUGAUAAAGCUGUUUAGGUUGCUUGAAAACACAAUCAACCCUAUUGCUAAACACGUAGAAACUGGCCCUGCCCUGAGUCCAAUCCCUUAAACUCUCAUCUAAGCUCCAUAGCCAGAGUCCCUUGCUGCAAAUGUACCUGGGUGGAGCAUCCCUUGCCUCAUCAUCGAUCCCAAGAAAGCUGAAGCUCCAUGUGAAAAUUUCCGGAAGAAAUGCUCUGGACUGAUCACCCUGGCGUUUAGAGCUUCUUUCCUUGGAAUCCCAACCAAUUCCAUCGCGGGACUGUUUGGGGAAGUCUUUUGAGGCAACUCCCUUGCUGCCACUUUUGGGGCAACUCUAGCCUCCUCAUAUUUGGCCAGAUAGAACAGUUCCAAGCUGUAAAUGUUUCCAGGAAAAAAUCUCAACUACAAAGACACUUUCAAGGUGCUGCAUUUCCAACAGCACUCUCCGUAUCCGAGUGGACAGCCCAGAGCAAUGGUGCUUCCAAUCCACAGAGCCCCUCCACAGGUCCCUUGCCAUCUGCAGACACCCACAUCUCAAGGCUGGAGUGAAGUGGCGUGCUCUCAGCUCACUGCAACCUCCACUCGCCGCUCCACUCCCUGGUUCAAGCAAUUCUCCUGCCUCAGCCUCCCAAGUAGCUGGGAUUACAGACAGAGUCCGGCUCUGUCAUCCAGGCUGGAGUGCGAUGGUGCCAUCUCGGCUCACUGCAACCUCCGACGCCCAGGUUCAAGCGAUUCUCCUGCCUCAGCCUCCCGAGUAGCUGGAACUGCAGGUGUGUGCCACCAGGCCCGGCUAAUUUUUUGUAUUUUUAGUAGAGAUGGGGUUUCACUGUAUUAGCCAGGAUGGUCUCAAUCUCCUGACCUCGUGAUCCACCAUCUCGGCCUCCC
rnacentral:lncRNA from 1 species